AUUGAACGCUGGCGGCAGGCCUAACACAUGCAAGUCGAGCGAGCGGCGGACGGGUGAGUAAUGUAUGGGGACUGCCCGAUAGAGGGGGAUAACUACUGGAAACGGUAGCUAAUACCGCAUACUAUCGGAUAACCCAUAUGGGAUUAGCUAGUAGGUGGGGUAAUGGCUCACCUAGGCGACGAUCCCUAGCUGGUCUGAGAGGAUGAUCAGCCCCACUGGGACUGGAACAACGCUCAGAAUCCCACGGGGGAAACUGUUGGGUAUAUUGCACAAUGGGCCCCAAUCUGAUGCAACCAUGCCGCGUGUGUGAAGAAUGCCCUACGGUUGUAAAGUACUUUUAGUCGGGAGGCGUUACCGACAGAAGAAGCACCAGCUAACUCCGGGCCAGCAGCCGCGGUGAUUUC
rnacentral:rRNA from 1 species